rnacentral:rRNA from 1 species
AUUGAACGCUGGCGGCAUGCCUUACACAUGCAAGUCGAACGGCAGCACGGGUGCUUGCUCCUGGUGGCGAGUGGCGAACGGGUGAGUAAUACAUCGGCACAUGUCCUGUAGUGGGGGAUAGCCCGGCGAAAGCCGGAUUAAUACCGCAUACGAUCUACGGCUGAAAGCGGGGGACCUUCGGGCCUCGCGCUAUAGGGUUGGCCGAUGGCUGAUUAGCUAGUUGGUGGGGUAAAGGCCUACCAAGGCGACGAUCAGUAGCUGGUCUGAGAGGACGACCAGCCACACUGGGACUGAGACACGGCCCAGACUCCUACGGGAGGCAGCAGUGGGGAAUUUUGGACAAUGGGCGAAAGCCUGAUCCAGCAAUGCCGCGUGUGUGAAGAAGGCCUUCGGGUUGUAAAGCACUUUUGUCCGGAAAGAAAUCCUUGGCCCUAAUACGGUCGGGGGAUGACGGUACCGGAAGAAUAAGCACCGGCUAACUACGUG